GCCUCAUUGGCUCAUGAGCAGAGCGUCUGUCUUGUAAAAGAAGGUUUUUGUAAACAGAAGGUCGCUGAUACGAUUCCAGUAUGAGGCA
rnacentral:tRNA from 1 species